rnacentral:rRNA from 1 species
CCUACGGGAGGCAGCAGUGGGGAAUAUUGCACAAUGGGCGAAAGCCUGAUGCAGCGACGCCGCGUGAGGGAUGACGGCCUUCGGGUUGUAAACCUCUUUCAGUAGGGAACAAGGCCAGCAUUUUUGUUGGUUGAGGGUACUUGCAGAAGAAGCGCCGGCUAACUACGUGCCAGCAGCCGCGGUAAU